rnacentral:lncRNA from 1 species
UAGCUACAUCAUUCAACCAUGAAGACUACACUCUUUUUCCCUUAAGCAAAGUUUUAUCCCAAGUGGUUUUCUUUGCUAAGGUUUUUAACGAGGUAGUUCUUUGUGUGUUGCAAGCUUGGUCCUUGGUCCCCGCCGAUCAAGCUUGAGGGGGAGUGUUAAGAAGAAAAGGCUAACCCGAAGCCUAAGGCCGAAAGUCUACAAGACGAGGCCAAGUUGGUGUGGUUCAAGGAAGCAUGACUUGACCACGCUCAUCAAGUUCAAGCUUUAACCUUCGUCCCUUACGGUUAAAGCU